rnacentral:tRNA from 1 species
UUUCGGGUAGGGUGGCCGAGUAGGUGGCGAGCUGUAGCCUCGUGUACGGGACAAGUGCCCCCCGACCA